CUCUCCAACAUCUCUCUCUCCUACUUCCUCUUCUACUUGUACAACUAUUCUUCCUUCACUUUCUUCCCCACUUUCACUGCCAUGCUCUGAGUCUUUGCGACAAAUUAAACGGACAAACACCUCUACCUCUUCACACUAUUCUCCCUGUGUCUCUCCUCCAUCUCUGUCUGCCUCUUCCAUCUCCACGUCUUUGAGUCAGGAAGGGCCACGUGUGAAGAACAGAAGAAAAGGUUGCUGAAAAUGUAGUAGGCAGAAGGUUUUCCAGUUUGAUCAAAUAACUGGGGAACGGAUAAAUGAGGGGAAAGCUGAAUUGAAAGUCCACUGGUUGCCAUGCACUGUGUGUGGCAAAACUUGGGAUGAUACAUGGGAGCCUGCCAGUGAAUUCCCACAUGUUAUGCCUAAUUCCCCACAGCCCAACCAGCUUUGAGCAUGAUAGCCUAGUCACCUGGACUCAAGC